rnacentral:lncRNA from 1 species
UGUACAACACGUGUACUACGGACUUGUUGUAGAAAAAAGCCCUGGGGGUAGACACAUGAUGCCAGAUAUAAAAGUGGUAACAUAUAGAAUAAAUAUUGUACACAAAGAGCACGAAAAACGCACAACAGUGACAACAAUAACACAAACAAUAAUCACAAACAAUGUUUAUACACCCAUAAUGCCAAACAAAGCCGAUACGACUCCAAAAAUAAGCUCAAAUUCUAUAUUCC